rnacentral:rRNA from 1 species
UACGUAGGGGGCCAGCGUUGCUCGGAAUUACUGGGCGUAAAGGGUUCGUAGGUGGUGCGGCAAGUUGGGAGUGAAAUCUCUGGGCUUAACCCAGAGGCUGCUUUCAAAACUGCCGUGCUCGAGUGCGAGAGAGGUCAGUGGAAUUGCAGGUGUAGCGGUGAAAUGCGUAGAUAUCUGCAGGAACACCCGUGGCGAAGGCGGCUGACUGGAUCGCAACUGACACUGAGGAACGAAAGCUAGGGGAG